GAUGAACGCUGGCGGCGUGCCUAACACAUGCAAGUCGAGCGGUAUAUACCUGAAUGAAACUUCGGUCGAAUGAGGGUAUAGAGAGCGGCGGACGGGUGAGUAACGCGUAGGCAACCUGCCCUAUACAGAGGGAUAGCCUCGGGAAACCGGGAUUAAUACCUCAUAAUGCGCGGGGUUCACAUGAACCCUUCGCCAAAGAUUUAUCGGUAUGGGAUGGGCCUGCGUCUGAUUAGCUAGUUGGCGGGGUAAAGGCCCACCAAGGCGACGAUGGGUAGCCGACCUGAGAGGGUGACCGGCCACACUGGGACUGAGACACGGCCCAGACUCCUACGGGAGGCAGCAGUAGGGAAUUUUCCGCAAUGGGCGAAAGCCUGACGGAGCAACGCCGCGUGAAGGAAGAAGGUCUUCGGAUCGUAAACUCCUGUCUUCUGGGACGAAUAAUGACGGUACCAGAGGAGGAAGCCACGGCUAACUACGUGCCAGCAGCCGCGGUAAGAGUCACGUCG
rnacentral:rRNA from 1 species